rnacentral:rRNA from 1 species
AUACGGAGGGUGCAAGCGUUACUCGGAAUCACUGGGCGUAAAGCGCGCGCAGGCGGCUAUUUAAGUUGGAUGUGAAAGCCUACGGCUCAACCGUAGAACUGCAUCCAAAACUAUUUAGAUAGAGUGUGGGAGAGGAAGAUGGAAUUAGUUGUGUAGGGGUAAAAUCCGUAGAGAUAACUAGGAAUACCAAAAGCGAAGGCAAUCUUCUGGAACACUACUGACGCUGAGGCGCGAAAGCGUGGGGAGCAAACGGGAUUAGAAACCCUAGUAGUCC